GCACUGGUUUAGCUCAGCGGUUACUUCGUUCAACUUUCUCCUGCAGAAACAUGAUCACCAUCCUCUCCGGGGGAUCGAACCGCGGGCGCUGUCCAGUGUUUUC
ensembl:vault_RNA Vault Vault RNA